ACUCCUACGGGAGGCAGCAGUAAGGAAAAUUGCGCAAUGGACGAAAGUCUGACGCAGCGACACCGCGUGGGGGAUGAAGGUCUUCGGAUUGUAAACCCCUUUCGGGAGGGAAGAUGGAGUGGGUAACCACUUGGACGGUACCUCCAGAAGCAGCCACGGCUAACUUCGUGCCAGCAGCCGCGGUAAUACGAAGGUGGCAAGCGUUGUUCGGAUUCACUGGGCGUACAGGGAACGUAGGCGGUUGGGUAAGCCCUCCGUGAAAUCUCCGGGCCUAACCCGGAAAGUGCAGGGGGGACUGUUCAGCUAGAGGAUGGGAGAGGAGCGCGGAAUUCCCG
rnacentral:rRNA from 1 species